AUGUUCCAGAAGUAUUCUCUCCUGACGUUUCGCCCACAAAAGACAUACAACAACCCUGUGAUCCCGGCUAUGAAAGCCUUCAACAACACAAACCGAACAUCCACUGGAGCAAGAGUCAUUGUUUCCAAGACCCUGAACUAUCCUCUAGGCCUGGAAAGUCCCUUGCCAAAGAUCUCAGAUUUUCUAGCUCAGGUCAUCUUCUCUGAAACUUGGGUGGAGAAGGAACAAGGAAGACUAGCACCAUGUAAGAUAACACUCAAAGUAAAGUUGGAGGAAGAAGAGGAAAUCUGGCUCAUGAUGACAUCAGCCUUUGGAUUUUUUUGGGCAGAAUCUCUAAGUCAAUUUCUGGAGGCAUUCAGGGGCCACAAAGACAGACUUGGGGAGUUGCAUGACCCCACCAGGCUUCCUGUCUGCGAAUAAAUGGCUAACAGAAGAGAGCUGGAGUUCCUCAGUGGCCUGCUACUCUUUCAGUGACCACAACCCAACACAAGUCUCUGGAUACUUCAGUCUGCUAGAAAUCAGAGGUUCUAAAUCCAGACUUUGGGAAAAGAACAGUUUGGACCACAGCUCUCCAAAUUCCCCAGCCUGCCAGAAAGCUAGUGGCCAUGUUGGAGGCAAAUUCUGGGAUCUUUAGUCUCCAAAAAGGUACUUUUCCAAACGGUUCCUCUACAGAGCCUAUAACUCUGGAUGGUUAAACCAGUUAUUUUCAAAUGGUUAUUUUCAAAUAACAAAUUAUUUUCAACUCUAGUACACAAAAUAUUUGGAAUGGUGGAACAAUUGUCUUGAAAAUAGGAAUGGAAAGGAUAUUUAGGACACAUGGUUAUAACACUGUAAAGGAGUGUAUUAUUUAUGAUACUGGACAGGGAUUUUCAAGAUCUAGAACAGGCACAACUUGAGCCCCUCCAUGUGUUUGGACUCCAGCUGACAGAAACUCUGAUCAUUGAAGAAGUUGGAGUUGGAGGCCCAAGCACCUGAAGGACCACUGGUUGUGCAGAUCUGAUCUGGAGUCGAAUUCCUGCUGUGCCAUGAAACAUCUGCUGCCUUUUGAACAUGGGAAGAAAUUGUAUCGAUGUACCUGUUUUGAAGGGGACAAUUGCCCCGUCUCUGGGCAACAUAAAUAUAUUCUGUAUUUGGAAGCAGUUGUCUAUUUUGCAUACAAGUACUAUGUACACAUAACACGUCCCAAUCUGUGGAAUCUGGAUCAUGCAUUGUCUUUCUAGCUAUGAGAUACAGCCAAAUAUUAAUUGGGUUUGAGCAGGCAGUUUCUCUUGGAGAUGACAGGAGUGGCCGACUUGAUGGAUCAAAGUCUUGGUUCUUCAGACUGUUGCUUUACUCUCAGCAUAUUUAGGUUUCUGAGCAUGUUUUAGGCUUUGUACUGAGAACACACCCCACAACGAACCCAAUACUCUCUACGUUGGAAAGGAACGUCCCACCCUGAGCAAGUUGUCUUUUCCUAAAACUUGUCAGUUCUUACUGGUGGAGCAUACUUACAAACGAUCCCACUUUUCUUUGGGCAAUGCUGAAAUGAUGCAAAUUUGCAUCAGCACUCCAGGCAGAGAACAUGCUCUGAAGAAGUGCAGGUUGAUCCAAAACCCUGAGAGCUAAUUUUACCUGUUCUUAUCAUGUUUCCACUGAGGGAAAACAGGGAAAGGUAAAAUGUACUAUUUGUUUAAUACGAGCUGUUUUGUGUAAGUUCAGCUGCUGACCUUGUCAUCAGUCUUUGUGUGUGAAGCAAAUGAAAGCAUGCUUUAGCCCCAAGCUCACACUUGAAUGCUGGAUCUGCAGGCCCAUGUGCCUAAUCUCAGCAAACAAGCUGGCACAUGCAUGUUUAAAACUGAUAGGUAAUCCUCCCUCCACUUCACAAACCAGUGGGGAUUUGAUCCCUGUGUUACAGGUAGAAGUUCAACUAUUAUUUUAUAUGUU
rnacentral:lncRNA from 1 species